rnacentral:piRNA from 1 species
UUCCUCACCUGGCAUGGCACGUGCCUCCU